rnacentral:lncRNA from 1 species
GAUGCACACCCAUGAGAAGACUCUACCUGAAAACUAUAUUUACUGGUCUAGCAGUUGAAGAAGUCAGCUGGGUCCUCACUUAUUCCUUCUGCCAUUUGUGAGUAUCAUUUUUCAGAAGCCAUUCUUGGCUUUCAGGUAUUGGAGAGACCUAGUUUUAGCAAAACUCAAGAGCAGCAUCUGAGCAUGGUGGAAUUACCAAGUUAAUAUCACUACGUGAGGUCUCUUGGUGACUAGUCAGCCAUUUGACCUUCCUAGGACUACCUUGACUUACUCAGAUGCUUUUGAAAAACACCCACAUAAGUCUUAUGCCAUUUCAUAGAAAUCUAAAGUGUGUGUGUGUGUGUGUGUGUGUGGCAAGUGACAUCUCAGAUUGCUACGGUUCUUCUCUCAUUCACAUUUGUGCCACACUCUUAAGGGCAAGUUUCAACAUUUAUUUGCCCUCUCCACUCUCACUUACCUAAUUUUGGCUCUCUCCCUCUCCAUGAUAUGAGUAUGUUCUUCUUAUCCUUUCACUGCCUUUAGUCAAGAAAAUUUUUACUGGAUGAGCAUUACUUCAAAGCUGUUUUUAUCAAUUAUGUUCAAGGACAUUAGUAUUGAUGAUAUGAUUUAACAUGAAUAUUCAUUAUAGCACAGGGUGAGGGGAUGGGGCAGUGUAGCAGAGGAGAACAUUACUAAAAUAUUCAAAACAUUUGUGCAUUUUUUUAACAGGUGGACAAAGCAUACAUUACAGACUAUUAGUUGAGUUUUUGGUUUGAUAAUUUUUUUCUAUCCCUUUCAGUCAGUUUCUCAAGUCAUACAUUUUUUAGUUAUUUACACUUUGAUUGGUUAUUCACUGGAACCUAGGUGGCAGACUCUAAGGAAAGAUUAAAUUCUUGAAAUUCCAAUGGAAACUGUGUUAGUUUGGGGUUUGUUCUGCAUAUAUGUUUCUGAUGUGAUCUGAUUCUAUGUCAUAAAUUCAACAUUUCUUUUAUAAUAUGUAACUCUAUAUUUUAAUGUAUGAAAGCUGGAUAAAAUUUCAUAUCAUAUAUGUAACUCUAUGUUGUAGUUUUAAUUUUCAGGUAUAGCUUUAUUUAACUUGAAAUUUAUUUCUUUAACGUGAAAUAUCAAGAGAAAUGAUGAGUGUAUAAAUAUAUAAAGUGAAUAAAAAUAAAGUGUAUUAAAGGGAUAUCAAGUUGUGGAGGAUACCUCACUAGAUGGGAUAGCCAUACAGUCUUUGCUGAGGAGGUGACAUUUCCGUUGAGACAUGGAUGAAUUUAUGAACCAGCCAUAAGGGGAAAAGAAGUCUCAGAAAAAGGGAAAGACACUCUGGUGGGGAUGAGUAUGGCUUAUUUAACGAUGAAGCUGAAUGUCUCCCACAAUUACUAAAGUUAAAUACACUCCUUAUUUGGUAGUCAUCAUGGUGGUCCUGUUUCCUUGUUCAAACCCUGAAAGAAACAGAUGUAAGUGACUGAAGCAGAGUGAGUGAAGAAGAGAGAAGUCUGUGUCCUCGUUUGUCACCCGCACACUGACAUGAAAAACUCAUAAUUUUCACGAGAUAUUCUCCUAACUUUUAUUUAGAAUAUACAAUCAGCAUUUUAAGAAACGUGAGACUAAAAGUUUGGAUAAAAUACAAAUAUCAUUUUUAGCCCUACCAUUUACAGAAUUUUGAUUAAUCAACAUAUCUCAGAGAUUAUGCCAUGAUAAUGUCCUGACUAAAAAAGCAUUUCUUUAGCUUGAACAUAUCUGAAAUAUAGGUGAUUGCUGUUAACAUUAUAUUGUGCAAUAUGGAAGUGAGUUAAAUUACUUGAGGCAUCUCUAGANNNNNNNNNNNNNNNNNNNNNNNNNNNNNNNUUGUCACCCGCACACUGACAUGAAAAACUCAUAAUUUUCACGAGAUAUUCUCCUAACUUUUAUUUAGAAUAUACAAUCAGCAUUUUAAGAAACGUGAGACUAAAAGUUUGGAUAAAAUACAAAUAUCAUUUUUAGCCCUACCAUUUACAGAAUUUUGAUUAAUCAACAUAUCUCAGAGAUUAUGCCAUGAUAAUGUCCUGACUAAAAAAGCAUUUCUUUAGCUUGAACAUAUCUGAAAUAUAGGUGAUUGCUGUUAACAUUAUAUUGUGCAAUAUGGAAGUGAGUUAAAUUACUUGAGGCAUCUCUAGAACUGAAAUAUUUUUAUCUAUAGUGAAGUAAAGCUUCAUUCAUCAUUAGGAGAAUUAAGUAAAGUGUUAUAAAAGCAUCUUAGCCAUUAAAGGGAUGCCUCUGCUAUUUUUAGAACUGCUCUUUGAUUAAUUUAAUACAGAUACAACAUUUCACCCACGCAUUAUUUUUUCCACUUUGGAGUAGUAAUCGUAUUUCUAUGAGCAUAGCCAUGUAUUUGGAUUGCCAGCUGUAAAUAUUUUUUUUUAAUUCAUUUUUGAGAAUGGCAUUUGUCAUGGGUAGGACUAGUUUCUUCUUAAGAUUCAGCAACCGUUCUUGCAAAUGAUACAGUCUCUCUUAAGAACUUUACCUUAUCAAACAUUGUUAAAAUGUAAAUAAAAUAAAUAAAGUGGAAUUUGGAUCCGUGGGGUGCCUCUAAUAGCUUUUCCUCCUUGAAAUGGAGCUAAUAUGAACUGCAUCAAAACAGUUGAUUUUUAUAAGACUGCAGAAACUGACAGUUAUUUUCCAGCACUACUCAUCACUGUUCUAUCUCAUUUGAAUUCCAGAAUCAAUGGACAAUGCCAAUACCUAUGGAUUACAUGUUAAAAAGGGAUUUAUGAAUUAGGGAUGAACUGGGAUGGUUAUUGGUAUUUAAAGGCAUCAUAUUUCAUGUUGAAUAUUAAUAGGAAUGAAAGAGCAGAGGAAUACAGUUACCAAAAAAUGAAUAAUAUUUCAAAAGAGAGUAUCUUCUUUAAGCCAUGGGGUAUAAGAAUACAUGUUAAAAGUUAUUAUAGUUAAUUCAUUUAGUGACAAUUUUUAUAACAACAAAGACUAGAGAUGAGAAUUUACCACCAAAGCUUUUUUAUUAUUAUUCAAUUAGGUCCAAUCUUAUCUGGACAUUAAAUAAAAUGUUUGAAAAAUUGUCCUAUAUUGAGACAGGGUGUAUUGUUUCAUUAUUUGGCUUUAUAUGAUUGCUAAAAGGAAGACUAUAUGUCCACGUUAAAUGUAACAAAACAUAAUUUAAAAUUUUAAGGAUGUAAGCCACUCAAGAAAAUAAGAAAAUAUUUUUAUUCAACAUUUGUGAGAUGACAUCAUAAAUUAUUACUUUUACUACCUGUGUUAGUUAAGUUGGUACCCAGUGAAGGUGGUUGGGCCUCCGCUUCUUGGGAUUAGGGUCCUACUUCCCAAAUUUGCAUAAUACAUAAAUGGAUCUUAUUCAUUCUCUUAAAUUGCAAGGGGUUUGAUCAAGCUAAUAAACCAAAAUAUUAAUAUCUAGUCAUGGAUUACUGUGUAAUGAGGAAUAAAAGAGAAUGCCAAGAAGACUAGAAUAUGUGUGCUGACUGAAAAGCAUGUUAUAUUCCCAGUAGGAAUGUCAUUUAUUAUUUAUUCAUCAAAUGUGUAUUGAUGUCUGAUUUAUACCAGACAUUUUGCUAGACAUUGGAUGAAAAGUCAAGUAGGGCAUAGUCUCUACCAUCAAGGCGCUUAUUGACUGGUUUGAAAGACAGCCAAAUAAAAACAACAAUUUUAGCAGAGUAAAGAGAAAAUUCCAAAUACAAAUAAGGAUCUGAAAGAGUUUCCCUGAGGGAGUAAAAGAUGGUGAAAUAGAAAGUAAGUAGAAGUUUGUUAGUGGAAGAAAAUAAUUAGGCCAUCCUGAACUCUCUGGUUUCUGGGCCUGUAAGAAGGGCCUGGUGCUAAAAUUUCUACAAUCAUUUAUAUUGCUUCAUCUUUCUUUUCUUUCUUUCUUUUUUUUUCCUCAUCUACUCUAAAUCUUUCCACUCCACCCCUUACACUGUUCUUGAUAAUGUCAUAACAAUCUCCAUGUGUUGAAGCCAGUAGUUACAUCUCCAUGUUAUUCAAACUUUCAAACUUAGCAGAAUUAGACACUCUUGCCUGCUCUUUUCUGUCUAGUAUUCUUUCUUCUUUUGACUUCAAAGACAGAUUCUCCUACUUUUUCUUUUACCUCACUACUUCCUCUUUCUUAAUUUCCUUUACGAGUCUUACCUCCAAAUGUUAUACCGCCUUAGGGUCAGUCCUACAUCCACCCUUUAUCUUUUAUCCCACUCAUAUUUUUUUCCUCCCCCCUUUUCUUUUGUCUCUCUGAAGAAUGUGUGCUCCUCAGAUUAUUGUUGUUAUAUAUUUUGUUAAGUCAUUGAUUUAGGGAUAUAAAAAACAAUUCAAGAGGGACAAUGUCAGGAUGAGAUUUGGACUUUUAAAAUCUUCUUUAGCAAUUUUCUAAAUGGUCUUUUUAGUGUAUAUUUGUGAUCAGAAAGAGUAAAGAUAGUUAAAUGAUCUUAGGCAUAAAAACAGGGAUAAGUUCCAAGAGCCUUGGGAUAUUCCUACUAUUGCUCUGGGAACACUUCUCACUGGAAUGAGUCCAAAGUAAGGUGAAAGAUUAUUUUAAUUAGGUUCUUUUCUUCCACAUUUUGAACAUUAUACACCUUUAUGUUAAAAGGAGAUGACGUUAAUAACUGUAUAGGGUAUCUUGGCCUACCUAUAUUCUAUUCAUGAUGUUGAUGUGUCUGAGGCAUUUUGCUUUCAUGAGGUAGAAAUAGAAAUAUCAUAGACCCAUUGCAACAUUUCAAGCGUUUUUAUUGAGUGAUAAUCUAUAAUGGUGCUAACCUGAUUUUAAAGUAUACUUUCUAGUCCUCUUAAUAAGUCCUGAGAUUGUUUGUGGAAUGCUCAUCAUCAUAUGCAUAACUCAUUUUCUAAAUUUAAUGUUGUUAUAGCUUAAUAUUUAUUUUGAAUUAUCCAUACCAAUGUCACUGUAGCAAUUCAAGGUAUGUGGUAGCUUUUCCCAAGUUUCUAGGUAGAAAACUCCUAUAAGUAGUGCCGUCUUUAUUAUAAGAUGUAAUGAAAAUAGUAGAAAAUAAUUUCUGAACAUUGAUUAUACUCUUUUAAGUGCUUUACUCUAUGUAUUCACUUAGCCCUCACAAGAACUCUACAGAGAAGUUAAACAACUUGAUUAUGUCACAGAGCUAUGUCACAAGGCCCACAGUCUAUCUCCAGAGCCUGUUCUUAGUCAUGAAACUACACUAUAAAGGGAGAUUUAUGCCAUUAGAACUAUUCAAAAUCUAUGCCAUUAGGAUUGAAUAUAUUGUAGGGGUGCCUGGGUGGCUCAGUCAGUUGAGUGUAUAACUCUGGCUUUCAGCUCAGGUCAUGAUCUCACCAUUUGUGAUUUCAAGCCCCAUGUUGGGCUCUGCACUGUCAGUGCCAAGCCUAUUUGGGAUUCAUUCUCUCUAUCUCUUUCAAAAAAAAAACAAAAAACAAAAAUGAAAAAUAAAAGUAAAAAUAAAAAUAAAAACAAAAAAUAAUUGAAUAUAUUGUAGUCUUCUUUUGUUAUUAUUAUUAUUUAUUAUGAAUGAUGAGGCUAAAUGUUUCUGAGGCAGAUAGUCCUAACUCACAGGAGGAAAACUUUACACAGGGGUUUAUCCCUUACUCUCCUACCUAUCUGAAAUCCUUCACAGCUCAUUGCACCCAGUCACUUCCAGUGCUAGACUAUCCCCAACAGUUAAAACUUGGACAUUAGAAAAGGAUAAGCAGUAUUGCAUUUACCUACACAAUUACAGAAGAGAAAAUAUCAACAGGCUUGGGUGAAUCUGAUCAAUAUUUAUAGCUAAAAUGGGAUAAUUCAGUCCCUCCUAAAUAAAUGCACAUCAAUGAAGAUUUUAUUCAUGAAAUAUUUGGAUAAUUAUUUCAACUCUACCAUUUAAAAUGUCUUUAUGUAAAGGACAUAAAAAGAGGCAUUGAAAGUGGAAACAAUUAACUGGAGUCAAUUAUUUGGCCAUCUCCAGCAAGGGCAAUAUAUUGUUAGAACAGUAAGUUAGCUAAUUGCAGCUUUAUCAUAUGACAUGAUCACAUCUACCAUUUGGGAGUCAAGUGAUUUUUUUUUCCUUUUACUUUGCAGAUAAUUAUUUUUUUUUUCUUAAUGAGACUCUAUAAGUGUCCUUUAUGUGCAUCUCCAUCCUCUCUGGUUUUAUUACAUCAUGUCUUGGUCUAUUUCCCCUGUCUUAUAUUCUCCAUUUGGGUUUUCUAUUACAAUAUGAUGAAGUACAUAUUAGAGCCUGUUAUUGAUUGUGCUUCCUUACUUACAUGUCUUGUAAGGCUCGCAUAUUUGUUUUGCUAGUAAUAAUAAUGAGAUGGUAACUCAACAGUGUGCCUAAAAGAAAAUAGUUUAAUGUUGUAGCUCAAAUUUAAAUCUUUGGAGUUAUAGUUGAAAAUGAGCUGUAAUAUUUGCUGUUGCUUCUGCUUCGUGGUGAGGGGACAGUGGAGAAGGGUUUGGGUGGAGAGAUAAAUGAAAGGAUCGGAGUAUGAGGGUAAAGGAAAGCAAAGAGGGGGACAUAAAAGUGCAAUGGUAAAAGAGGAGUUUUGUUUUAUUUUUGAUAUAAAGAGAAGUUUACAAGGUUAGACUAGAGGUGGGGUGACUGACACCAAACCUCAACCCCUGUGAGAGAGGAUUUGGAGCCCAGGCUGACUUGAAACCUGUCAUAAAGGGGAGCUGAAAAUGGAGAAGGGGAAGGGUUUCCUGCCAGAGAGGGGGGAAACCGAAUGGAGUGGAGCAGGGUCCAAUAUUGCAAACAUACUUUGAAGGUGUGGUAAAAACCAGCGUCUUGCAUGGGAAGGGUAUGGUGGGCAAGUGGGCUGGGUAAGAGUUAACAAGGAACCGAUGGGCAAGAGAAAAAACUCUCCUUUUUCUUCCUCAUCCAAUAUCGGUUGUUCUGAAAUAUAACUUUCGUUGUGGGCAUCUAUUCUUUUUUGAACAAAAAAUAUAUUACAUGUAAAAUUAGAAAAUAAGAAAAUAACCCUACAAAAUAUCUGAAUUUAGUAGUCAGAGAGAUUCAAGUGAAACAAUGGAAUGUAUCCAUAAAUACGGAAUAGCACACAGUGGCCAAAGGAAACUCAAGGAAACAGAGAGAGGGGAGAAAACAUAACCAACAUUGACAGACCACUCAUGUGUGUUCAACAUUCUAAGUCAUUUUACCUGUUUGGUUUUAUUUUAUCCCGAGUAUAUCUCUGUGAAGCUUGUUUUUAUUAUUCCAAAUUUGUAGGUAUGCCAAUAACUGGUUUAAGGUCUUAUUAUUUUUUAAAAGAUGGAAAUGGAAUUCUUACUCUAGCCUAGCUGAUUCCAAAACUUAUAUUCUUUUUAUUCUUUUUUGGCAUUCUUGUUGAAAUCAGAACACCAUCCUUACCCUGAGAAUAAUUCCACUCUUUGAGGCUCAUGUUCACCAAUCAUUUGAUACCAUGCACCACUAUAAAUUAAAAAAAUUUUUUUGAGUAUUCAUUUCCUUUACAUUUGUCAUCUUUUUUUUUGUAAAGUACGUUAUGUGUAUGACUAUAAAAAUGUAAUGUACAUCAUGAAACAUAUACAAAACUUUAAAAGUAUGAAUUAAAAAUAAAUGCAAUUAAGGGUGCCUGGGUGGCUCAGUCGGUUAAUUGUCUGACUUUGGCUCAGGUCAUGAUCUAGUGGUUGAUGAGUUCCAGCCCCACAUUGGGCUCUGUGCUAACAGCUCCUAGCCUGGAGCCUGCUUAGGAUUCUGUGUCUCUCUCUCUAACUCUGCCCCUCUCCCAUUCAUGCUCUGUCUCCUUCUCUCUCUCUCAAAAUAAAUAAAUAAAUAAAUAAAUAAAUAAAUAAAUAAAUAACAUUAAACAUUUAAAAAGUUAAAAUAAAUAUAAGUAAAAGUGCAAAUAUUUUCUGCUAGUAUCCAAAAUGUUAGCCUAGUCAGACUGAAGGGUAAGCACACCCUACUACAGAGGACACUUUUCUUCCUUUCUUCCUUCCUUCCUUCCUCCUUCCCUCCUUUCCUUCCUUCCUUCCUUCUUUCCUUCCUUCUUUCCUUCCUUCCUUCCAGUUUAUUUAUUUAUUUUGAGACAGAUAGAGUGCUUGUGCUUGACUGGAGGGGAGGGGCAGAUAGAGAGGGAGAGAGUUGGGGCUCCAGGUCAUCAACUGUGAGAUCAUGACCUGAGCUGAAACUGAGUCUGACGCUUAACCCGACUGAGCCACCCAGGCGCCCCGACUUUUCUAAAAAGUCAUAGUAGACCUGUAUGAACAUGAACUGCUGACGUGUGAUUCGAUGAAAGAUAUGAUGCAGAGGUUAUUCAUUAUUCCUAAGUCUUGGAAAGAACUGCUCAUUUUAUGGUGGAUCUUUCUUCCUUCCUUAUUUCACAAAGAUAAUUCGUUUCAGGUAAUGUAUUCCUACAGAUAGUAUAGUUAAUUGGUUCCUUCCCCUCCCUCUACCCCCUUUUUUAUUUAUUUUUUUUUUAAAUUUUUUUUUCAACGUUUAUUUAUUUUUGGGACAGAGAGAGACAGAGCAUGAACAGGGGAGGGGCAGAGAGAGAGAGGGAGACACAGAAUCGGAAACAGGCUCCAGGCUCCGAGCCAUCAGCCCAGAGCCCGACGCGGGGCUCGAACUCACGGACCGCGAGAUCGUGACCUGGCUGAAGUCGGACGCUUAACCGACUGCGCCACUCAGGCGCCCCUCUACCCCCUUUUUUAAAUUGUUGGGUGGGGUGGAAGGUGAAACCAAGUCUAACAGGCCAGUGGGCCAGGGAUGUGAUACGCAAAGACCGUGGCUGUAAUUAUAGAGUCACUGUGUAGAGCCUUAUAAGAGGAUGUCCUCACUGUGAAGCCUUCUGUUUUGUCAAUACUUUUACAUCAAUACUUGGCAGUCAGUUCUGCUGCUUUAGGGUUUCAGCAUAUAAAACAGACAAAGUCACUAAUAUCAAAUUGGAGCUACUUUGCAUUUGCAGUUGACAAAUCCUAUUUUAGAAAUAUGCAUGAGCCUGAGGAUUAGAUCAAGCUUUUAACAUUUACAUUUUUUUCCAGUGGGGAAGUCUCUGAUCCUCUCCUAAUUUACCUGUUGUUGAUUUCCUGAAUCUUUUUAAAUCCCUUGCAACUGAGAAUGGUCUCUCCAUCAGAGAAGCAAUUAACCAAAUCCCUGACUAGAGUGUAUGCGGCAUCUGUUAUAAAAGUAUAAAAGGUUAACUUAAAUCCCAGCACACAAAGGAGAUGUCAGACCAGAACAAAUCAGCAUGGAGAAUUACCUGGAGGGGAUACAAGGUUAAGGUGGAGCAUAUGUACAGUUAAGAGGAUGUUUAUGACUAGUGGAAUUUGUUUUUCAGACUGUGAAGACUGGAAGGUUAGAAAUGACAUGUCUAUUAUGAAUCAACAUAAUUCAUAUUCUGCAGUUUUUGCCUGACAAAAGAAAAUGUUCCUUAUUUUUCCCUAUGCAACUCCAAAUCCAAACAAAGAGUUGCAGAGGUGUCAACCUUCAUCUCAUAUAAAUUCUUAGGGUUUUUUUUUUUUUAAGAAAAAGGGAACAACUUUUAAAAGAUCAUGCAUUGCCUGAGCUAGGUGGAUUGGUAAGUAGCUAACAAAGCACUAAUUUGUGUUUAUAUUUAGACAGGCCUCCUUCAACAAAUUAUUUUAAGAUAGAAUAAUCAAAAUUUAUUAAAAUGUUAUAAAUAUAAAACCAAUAAUAUGAAUUAAAUGAGCUGGGGUAUUACAAUUUUAGAUAGAAUUAGGUUAGUAGGUUAAAGAUGGCCAUAAACUAUUUGACAAUCCUCUCAUUGAAAGGAGGGUUCUUGGUUCCCUCCACCUGAGUCUUGGGGGCUCUGUUAAUGCCUUAGCAGUAAAACCUAGCAGAAGUGAUGCUGUGUCAAUUUCUGCACCAAGACCAUAAGAGACUGGUUGCUUCCACUUCCUGUUUUGUGGAAUCCUCACUGUUAGAGACCUAAGCUUCAGUGUAAGUUCAGCUAUCCAUCUGAAAUGUAUCUCAACUGUAUGGAGAGACCAUAAGAUUACAUGGAGAGAUAGGAAGCUCGGUUGAAUUCAGCCUUGGCAAGAUCCUAAACAUGUGAGUGAGGCUGUCUUGGACCCAUUAGACUCCCCUAGGUAUCAGUUGGAUACUACAUUGCCCUUGUUGACACGUGGAGCCAAAGAAUUGUCCAGGAAAACACUGCAUCAGUUGCUGCCCCACAAAAUUACAAUGUAUAUUAAAAAGGGUGGUUGUUCUAAACCACUGACCUUUGUGGUAGUUUAUUAAAGUAAUGGAAAACUGGGAUAGUACAUAUGACUAAUUUUAUUAUUUUUAGAAUUACUCUUUAAGAAUAGUGGUAUAUUCAAUUCAAGAUAAGUAAACUUAAAAAGUAAAUACGAUACCCGAAGAAAUGAAAAUAUAAAAUGUAUGUUACAGUCAUACAUUCUACUGAGGAAGUUCUUACCUUGAUAUAAUUGAAUUGAAUGAAGCCAUGAGGUCAGUGAAUCAGAGCAUUUGGAUUUCUUCACCAUCCUGAUAGGAGAGUCAGAUGUGUUUUCUUUAAAGUUAUAUAUUCUAAAUCAUUGUCCCAAAUCUUUGGACUUUACAGCCAUCAAUGUUGCAUCAAAUUGACUCUGCUAUACAUUUGUCAUGGCUGUCAGCUGAGAUUCUCUAUACCUAUAGAUUAAAAAUCAUCACAUAAAAAAAAUAAAAAUAAAAAUAAUCACAUAGACAGAUCCCUAAAUCGCUACAAAUCUAUAUGGAGUUUCUAGGGUGAAGAAUGGCAGCUUCUCCUUCCUUUCCUUUUCUUCUUCCUUCUCUUCCUUAUCUUCUUUUCCAAUCUUAUUUCUAAUCUCUUAAUUUUAUUCAAUUAGUUCCAUGGUGGGUCAUGUUGCCAUCUUUCUGGAAAAUAUUUCACACAGAGGUAAGAUCCAGUUUUUUUCAUUAAUAUUAUUAUUAUUUAAAAUUGAAAUUACUCCUAAAAAUCACUUUCCAUGUUUCAGACUCUAAUGAAGGUUUGAUGUGGUAAAGAUUUUAUACCAGGUUGGCUGGGCUUCCAAUGCAUUUCCAUCAAGUACUGUCUGGGUACUUCCAUUACAGAAAACUUAUUUUUUUCCUUUGUAUUGCAGAGGAAUUGUUUUCUCUACCCUAUACCUUUUUUGUAACAUGUUUUUGUAUCCAAAGAUUAUUAAUGGACUUUGUUAAUACUGAAACAGAAUUCCUAAAUUCAUCCCCAGUUGGCAUAAAACUAGGAGAGGUAGAUUUCCAUUUUUAUCACUUUCCUACUCCAUAUGUUGCUGUGAGUAAAGGUGGGGGAAGGAAAUGAAACUAUUUAGGUGCUACACGGUUCCAGAAUUGGAUUAAGAAGUCAGGCUCAAAUGAAUCCAAUAUAUUAGUUAGUACUAAGAUUUGCCAAUGAUUUCAAGGAUAUGACCAUCAAGAAAUUGAGAUGAAGAAAAGAGGACUGUGGCACCUUUAGGGUGGUCCCCAAGGUCCUUUUCUAUCACAUCAGGCCUGCAUCCUUGGCCCAGAGUAAUUGAAGAGCCUCCAAGUGAGACCUUGUGAGUUUUUACCUCACAAAUCAGGAAGAGUAUUCCAUUUUCCAUUUUAUGCCCCAGGGUGUUACAUAGCUUAGAAGACAUUAUCCAGGAAGGCAAUCCUCAUAAAUCCUAGAUCUUGGGUUUAUUUACUAAAAACAACUCAAGCAGCAAACUUCUGCUCUUAGCUUUCUUUAAAAGAGGACUAUUCCUUCUAGAAAAUAUCAUUUGUCUAUUUACCUAGAGGUUCAGUUAACAAGAAGAUUAAACAAGGUCACCUGCCUACUUUUCUUCUCUGAGAGAAAGGAAAUAACUUUGAUAA